UUCUGUGGUGGUGCUGAAAGAAUACAUGUGUUUCUUCACCCUCAGAAAGCAAACACUUUGGGCCUGGAGACCAUUAUUCUUCUCUAAAUAAAUGAAUAUUUUUUUAAAAAAAUACCCAAACUGUUUUAGAGCAUUUUUCUGUAAUGUUUAGGUCCUGUGUUGACAAGGGAUGUGGGGAGCAGAUGGGGUGAGGGAUGGUGGUGGUGACAAAAAAAACUAUUACUUUUUUUUUUUUCCUGGAGCCUAAAAUAUCAAUAGUUCAGCUUCUAGAUGAAACCAAAUGUUGCUACCUUCUUGUUUGCUGAUGUAAAUUUAUCAACCCUCUCAUUUGCAUGUGUCACAACCUACUGGCCUGUUAAAUGCACCUAAUUUUAUGUCCUGUUCCCUGUCAGUCUCUCAACCUUUCUUUGUACUUUAAAAUUAGAGAUAAUAUGAUACAAAGCCGUGAUGAUGUUCAGUAAUUGUUCUACAUAAAGCAUAAUUUCUACCUUUGCCUUUAGAACAGAAGAGAAAGCCUGUAAUUGUCCUUUCCAGUCUGAUAGCGCUUCUUAAUACCAGAAAUGUUAUUAACUAGCCACACGGAUAGUUUUCAUCUAAGCUGUAGUGUGUUAAUGCAGAUGCUUUUGGGGUGUGCUGAUCUUAUGACAUCUGGAUACUGAUGUCAUUCCCUAUACAGCAUAACUGGAUCUAACAACACCUCUUUUUCCCCCUUCCCCCUGCACCUUUCUUCCCCUUUUUCCUUCUUUUUUACUUUUUUUUUUUUAUCCAAAGUUGUCAGGAAAGUAGUUUUGCACCUUGGCCAAAACUCAAACCCAACCAUCUGCUUUUUCUAUGGCAGCAGCACCUAACGAGGUUUGGGCGUAUUUGUCUCUGUAAGAUAUCAAAAGAGCAUCUUGCAAAUUGUUCACUCUUCCCUCAGACAAGGUGCCAUGACAGUGACUUGCUACUUGCUAGUCAAAUAGCGAGCUUCCUGUCUCAACUAGAAUGCCAAAUACUAUACAUGGUUCCACAAACAUGGAAAUGCAGUUAGUUUUGUUGCAAACAAGUAUUCUUUAGUAAAAUUUUACUUUCUAAAAUGCAAACCCAAUAUAGUUUGGUAAAAAAGGGAACUUAAAUAUUUAGUAGAAUCAAUUGUUUGGGAAAAUAUUAGUUUCUUGAAAAAACUAUAAAAAUGAAGAUAUCUAAGAUGGAGAUUUCACUGGUGAAUAUAUUCUUUCAGGUUUUAUAACCAUCUGAUCUCUCAUUUUUGGCUUUAGAAUUGUUUGCUCAAUUCCUGUCUCUUGCUGCUUCCUACCCGCAUCUUUCAGCCUCGUCCUUUUCACGAUCGUGUGGUUGGUGCAUGUGCACAAUCAUGUGACCUAAAUUCUGCCACUUAUACUGUCGUAAGAAAGUUUGGGAGGUCUAAACCUAACUUUUCUUUUUUGUGGAUAAUUAAGAGUACAGUUGUUGGAGUGCCCUGUACUUUAAGAGUUAGUAUUUCAGGUCAAAUAAAGACAGGCCCUUAUGCACCCUGGCAUAUUCCAGUGGUUAUUAAUGAAUGCUUUGGAAAGGCAUGUAAAUAAUGUCUUCAACUUUAGAAUUUGAAAGGUUUUCAGUGUAUUUUUUUAAAACACUGGUGUUUAAAAAUGCCUUUCAGAUGGGCCUAAGAGCAAGGUUAUAAAAGCUGCUAAAGUCAAUUUAUUUUUUUAUAUAUAUCUUGCUGUUAUUUAUUUCUUGUUGCUGUUGUUAUCACUUCAAAAGCAUUUUUAUGCUUUGCAGAAAAGUGUCCAUAGUAAACAAAAAUGACCAUGAAAUUCUAAUAGAUGAAGAAAGUAAAUACAAAUACUAUGUCCUCUUUCAGUUGUAUUAAAUACACUUAUUUUAAUUAAGUUGUAUUAAUAUCUGAAUUUAUUUGCAGUAGCAGGUAAUAAGUGUUUAAAUAAACUAAUUAUUUAGAAGAUGAGUUUUUCCUGUUCUCCUUAGUGUGGCAGAGUUCAUGUGUCGUCACACAGCACAGAUAAACUGCUUCUGUAUUUCAUGCUUCGGAACAGAGGGACAUUACUUAAAUAAUAUAGGGCAAAAUUAUUUUGUAAUUCAGCUUGUGUUGUUGGGUAAUCAUGGGUUUAGAAAACAUUUCAACUUUCUUUUUUUCUUUUUAGAUUUGGAUAUUUCCGGUGAUUUUUUUUUUUAAUGCUGUGCCAUAUUAAAUCACUCCUUCAUGCUUGAAAGAAAAGGUGUAAACUUAAGGAACUCUGUUUUGGAUUUGUAUUUAUCAGAGCAAAAUUACUCUGCUGAAGUUCAGUCACUGGCAUUGAUGAUUAAAAGCCUCUUGGUGCGAAUGGUGUUGAUUUCCCUGGUUUUAAAGGUGUUUCUCAGAGUAGGACCUCUAUCCUAUGUUCAUCAACCUGUGAAACACACUUUAAACCAGGAGCCAGCUCUGUGCUUCCUGCCUUGCUUACUGAUUUAUCACCCUCCAUUACACUCCAUCUUUGUCUCUGUUGAGACCACACCUGGAAUACUGUGUCCAGCUCUGGAGCCCUCAGUACAGGAAAGACAUAGACUUGUUGGAUGGGGCCCAGAGGAGGGCCACAAAAAUCAUCAGUGGCCUGGAACACCUCCCAUGUGAAGACAAGCUGGGAGAGUUGGGAUUCUUCAGCUCCGAGAAGACUCCAAGGAGACCUUAUUGUGGCUUUUCAAUACUUAAAGGGGGCUUAUAAGGAAGAUGGGGAAAACCUUUUGAGCAGGGCCUGUAGCAACAUGACAAGGAGUAAUGGUUUUAAACUAAAAGAGGAGUUUAGAGUAGAUAUUCGGAAUAAAUUUUUUUUCGCUGGGGGUGGUGAAGCACUGGCACAGAUUGCCCAGAGAGGUGGUAGAUGCCCCAUUCCUGGAAAGAUUCAGGGUCAGGAUGGAUGGAGCUCUGAGCAGCUGAUCUAGAUGAUGUCCCUGCUCACUGCAGGCGGAUUGGACUAGAUGACCUUCGUGGUCCCUUCCAAUCCAAACAUUUCUGAUUUUAUGAUUCUAUUCUUAUAUACCAAAAUCCACUCCUGUACAGCAGGCCGACUUCCAAAGCUGCUGUCAAAACAUUACUUGCUUAGAUGAUGAUUAAAGUUAAAUUGAAGUGUGAUACUAGUUACAGGGGUAGCUGGGAAGCACUACAAUGUGCCAGGCUUAGGAAUAAUGUAUGGCAAGUUAGUGGUUCUACAAAUCCUUCAGCAGAUAAGUAAUCCUAUCAAAGGCAGUUGAGUGCAUUUGAUUAAGGAUUACAUGUGAUUAGUGGUCUGCAAGGUUAAGAGUGCAAUCUGUAUCAUUAAUGAGAGUUCACAUAUUAAUGCUGCUUUGAGCAGGAGGUUGAACUAGAUAACCCCUGAAGUCUGUUCCAACAGGAAUGAUUUUAUGAUUAUCACACACUGAUAUUAUGCAGAUAGAUAUUUUAUUUAUAAAAAUCAUCUUAAUUGAAUAAGCCAAGCUUUAGCAAAUUAUUGCAAUUAUUUUGCCUAUUGCAUCAUGUUGUAUCCUGGAGUUGCAAAUUUGACCCGAACGUAAGUUUUAAAAGAGUAAGAGAAAUACACCCAUGCCUUUUUGUCUAUUGCUCUGAAUUCCUUGCAUACGGUUUUAUAUGAGAUUGAAUUCCUCAUAUAGAAAUUCCUUCCUAGCAUGCAGUUGAUUUGGUUCCAGUUCUGGAACUAGUCUAGAGUAGAGGGCCUGAAUAUUUGAUGCUUUAUGUGCAAUUCAACUGUGUGAAUGGACUUAAGCUACUUAUUUCUGGUACCACUAGCACUGAGACCACAGUAACAAAGCAGUCAGUGCAGGUUAGCGGUCUGAGAAAAGUUUGAGGCCCUAAAGACUUUCUGAAGCAAGGAGUCAGAAUGUGAGAGUGCAUUCUUGUAUUUAAAACCCAAACUAUUCCUACCCCCCAAAAAAACCAACAACGUCCCCAUUGUUAGAAUAUGGUUUAGGGAGUGUUAGGAAUGGUUGGACUCGAUGAUCCAGUGGGUCCUUUCCAACCUGGUGAUUCUGUGAUUCUGAAUAUAUGUAGAUGUCAAGACACAAUGUGUUAAGUUUAAUAAACAAUACAUAUUAAGUGAAUAUCAAGAUGAAGUCUUUAUCAUUAUUUAAGAAAUUGUAUUUUGAUCCUUCUCAUUACGAUGUAUGAGGAAUUCAUAUGGAUUUCCUUCCUGUGACUGGAUAAAAUUUGUACUUAUUGCUAUUUCUUUGACUGUUCUCUUCCCUAUACUGCUUUCAGUGGCAAAGUUGUGAUCUACCUUGUAAUUUACACUUAGGUGACAACAGUAGUUUCUGAACUGCUGACAUUUGUAGUUGCAAUUAGCUACUUGCUCCUGUUUCCUCAUUUUCCCUCCUGUUGCAUUAGCACAGUCAUUUGUGUCAUCAUGCAGUGACUUGGAUCAGAAAAUAAGUCCUGACUUCAAGAGGAGUGUCUAAUUUUUAGCCCAAGUUAGUUUUUCGAUAUGGCUCAGUGCAUGACUCCACCAGCAGAUACCUCUGCACUAAUGAGGUUGUGGCACAAGAAUGAGAAUAAGCAGCAGGAGGGUCGUCUCUCUUUGAACUGGCACUCUUACAUGUUCAUCGAAUUUUGUGUCUAGAAUCUGUCUUAGAAACGAUUAAUCUUUUCCUCAAAUAAGCACCUGAAGUAAGAUACUAUAUAUUUCUGUAAAAUCAGAAAAAUAUUGUAUGGAACUUGAGGGCAAUCUUCUAAGGCUGAAUACAUCAGCAUAACAACAGUAGGUGUCAGUUAGUAUUUGCAAUUACAAAGUCAUUCACAGUGGAAGGAAUAACCUGAACUACUUGAAGAUAAUUCUAAGUUACAAGUAAAUGUUCUGCAAAAGUACAUGAAUCAUUAUAGAUGCUUUGGUGAAAACUUCUUUGCAAUGUGCCCGCUGUCAAAGAAACAGCCUUAAAAUUUAUUGAAGUGGUGCUCCACAGUGGCAUUAAAUGGAAGUUCUUUACCUCAGCAUUUCUACUCAAAUGAACUGUCCAUCUGUUUUAAGUAAGUCAUUUAUACUUACUUCAUCGGUAAGUGCAUAUACAUAUCCUCUGUGUGUUUUUAAAUGCUAUUGACAAAGAACAAAUUUUUGAAAACCAAGUAAACUCUUCUCAGUAAGUUUACACAAAAUAAAGCUUCUAUCAUUUCUUGCUUUCAGUUCAAUCUGUGCCUUCAGGUUGUCUGUAAAUUUUCAAUAAUGGCAAUACAUUCAUUCUGCCAUUUGGAGGAGCCUGUGCCACAGAAUAAUGAUCUGAAGGAAGCUCACUUGUUUGCAAGGAAGAGUCUUCAUUUGGGAAAACAGUACCGAUGCAGCCAAGAGUGCUUUGUCAAGUUCAGAAACCACUUAGGUAGAUGCGGGUUGCUUCUCCGAAAUCCAUUCUGAAGCUUGAGUACAAAGCAAGAAGGGUACUAAAGAUGGAUAUGAAUGGACACCUUAAGGAUAACAACAGAUAUGGCAUCUUCAAGAGCAGUGGUAUUCUGGCCGAUCUCUGAAGACAGAGCUCUACUAUAGUAAAGGGAAGGGCAGCAUCAUCCUCCUGGACAACCUUGUGCUGUCUUUGAUCUCGCUGCCUGAAGGAAGCAGUACCAGUGAAGGUGCAAGGCCCUAAAUCCUGCUCCUGGAUUUGUUCAAAAGGACCUCGUUAGCCAUGGGGCCUGACUGACUUAAUGGGACUCUGGAUGACUGCAAGUUUCUACUCUGAAGAUCUGAUUGUUGCCUCAAUUUCUUCUCCUGAAUCUCUCAAGUCCUGGAACAGAGCCCUUAAAUAAAGUGUGGUGACGGCACUGGGAAAGAAGCUGGUAGAAGACGCAGGAUGAUUAUGAUAGAAGCUGGAGACAGUCUUUAAUGAUUUUAAGAAAAUAUUUGAAGUAUCUCCUGAAGAUUUCAAAUAAGACAUCAGAGGAAAAUAUUGGUUGUAAGUCUGCAUCUAGUAAGCAACUGAGAAUGGUGUUUGUCCAGGCUGCAUAUAGGCUGGCACUGCAGCCUCCGGUAAUGUGGCCAGUGCUUUUUCCAAAUGCACUGCGAACAACCUACCUGCUGUAUGGCGAGAAGUGUUUGAAAACAACAGUGAUAAUCUAAAUCACCAGCAGCUCCAUUCAACCACAGCAGGCACUUUCUAAGGUCUGGCUCUCUAUAUAUACAGCAACUUCCUCGAAAAUUCUGCUGGAGGAGUCUCACCAAGGUGUUUCACAAAGUUAUUUUGGGAGCUGAGGAGAAUGAGAUUCCCACUCUGCACCUCUCUUGAUCAGGCUUCGCUGCCAGCAGUCUGUGCUUCCUGGAUUUCUCCAUCCUUGUUUGUCUUUGCUAGAAGUCUUCAAUUGUGAGCUACAUGAGCAAUGAUCUGAAGAGGGAGGUAGUUUAAAAAAAAACCAAAAUACAACUUUGUUUUCAUCAUUCAGUUGGAACUUUUCUGUUCUUACUCAGCAAUACAUUGUUUAAAAGAACAGUUCUGUCUUUGAAGAGGCUUUUCUCCAUUAUCUCUAAAGAAAACAGAAACCAAAAGGAUGUUUUGUAAAGAGGUUGAGAAUAUAUAGCUGAUGUUUCCAUCCAAGUUCAACUUGCCUUGCAUGGAGAAGUUGGACCAAAAGACUCCUUACAAAUAUUUCUGUGAGUGUUCAAGUCAGAAGCUACAAAGGAUAUUGUAAACAUUGAAGUGUUUGAAAACACAUAUCUGAUAGAAAUCGUAGUCUUACUCUUGCUUUGCAAUAUGACAUCCAAUCCAACUGACUUUUCCCAAAGUAUACUCUAGUUUGCAAAACACCAAAAUUACCAAAUAGGGGUUUUGAAACUUCCUGUGCUGCUACAUACUUGUUUUUUUCCUGGAGCAGUCAUACUGGGCUGUUAUGACCCGAAUAUUCUGUGGGCAAGGCCCCUGUGUGUGAAGUCAAAGGUGUCCAGUGUUAUCUGAGUGAUCUCAGUGACUGCACUUGUGUAAUUUAAAACAGAUUUGGACUUCAGUUUGCAGGAGAAGGCAUGUUUGUAAAGUAUCGGAAGGGAUGUGGCACAGCGUGAACAAGAGAAGAAAUAUAUACUGCUUCCGUAAAAAAUGCUACUGUCAGCAAUGGAUGAGUAAAUUCUUUUUAUUUCUGUCAUCAAGGGCUGAGGAAGAAAUACACUGGAAUAUGGAAACCUGCACAGGCUUUAGCAUAUAACCAGCAGAGGUGAAGGAAAACCUUUACAGGAAUAUGUCGUGUAAUCAGCAAUACCUCAUUGCUUACCUUUUACUAAAUUGUUGGCUCUAGACAACACCUGGGAAUAAAUACCUUCUUUUUCCUUCCUUUCAGAUCUGGUUUUCAUGGAAGAAACUUUAAAGAAGUUCCCCGUGUGCAAAGCUAUCAGCUCCUGCACAACUAGGCCACGUAAAUACUAGUACCCUUUAGAGUUUUUCUCUGCUCCAUAUUCCGUGUAAAGGUUUAAAUUCUAAAACACAAAGCACCAAAAAAACCCCCACUUUCCUUGAGACAGAAUCAUUAGUGUUUCUUACUGUUCAUGUAUUUUCACAUUGUUUCAGAUAGAAGAAUCACUGUCGUUUGUCCAUCAACACUCUGUCACAAACGAGCGCCAUGAGUUAAAAAAGUCUUUUACUUCCAUAAAGCACCCCAUCUUGCCAAAUGAUUGAUAAUCGUGAUAGAAGAUUUGGUGUAUGUUUGCCUUCUCACUGGCAAUACUUUGCACCAGCUUGAGGACAGGAAAUGUUAGGAGGCAACAAUCAUAACCAAGCAGUGGCAACUGGCUUGAGCAUUGGAUCCAGAACAGAAAUUACUUGACUCUGGAUUAACUAAGGGGAUCAGAUCAAUACUAAUACAAAUAUUCUGUCAGCAGAUGUGUAAAAAUGUAUAUGAUUUAUGGGACUUGUUCCUCGGCCACGAGGGGCACAGUUAACUUAGGAAGACUCUUAGGAGAAAAUGGUGUUUUCUUGGACGUGAGAAUCGCCAGAGGACAAAGGUAGAAAGUGUAAAUGACACUUAGAAGAAGACCCAGUAUAAGCUUCUUGAAUUAUGAAGUUUCCCUGCUACAUAUUCGGUUACUUAUUGGGAGGUGAUUUACGUCUUGUCAGGUUGAAUAGCUCUUAGCUGAAUGUGUCUAAACAUGUGCUGCCAGCUUCCUAAGAGGACCUAUUAUACCCUCUAUAGAACCCGUCUAUUAUUUUCAUGGGACGUACACGUAUGGUGUGCAACAGUAUAUUGAAAGAGGGAAGCCAGUGAAGGAAAAAUGUGCAAUUUUUGUUCCACAUUGUCCAGUAUCACAAAUGUCAAUGUGACACUGAGACCAGUCAGCAGUGUGUAGCUCUCUGGACAAAGACUGAGUGUAGAGAGUAUCGCUGCAUUCCACUACGAUAACUCUUUCUAGCAGAUCAGCACCCCGGUGGCCUCUGCUAGAGAUUCAUUUGAGACUUGCUUUUGUUGCAGCAGUAUAUAUAACGUUUUAGAAAUACCACCCUGCUUGAAGAAGGAAGAAAAAGCACUAAGAAUUGUCUGAGGAUCAUCAAACAGUCAUUCUGCGGCAAAGCAAAUCUCUUGCAACCUCUUCUGUGGAUUAAUUCCUGGAGAUGAACUGUGCAAAGUGACCAUCUUCACAAGAUUUUAUCCCAGCUCUUCUACUGAGACGAUUAAAAUGAUUCAAUCCACCUAACAUGGAUGUAAGCAAGUAGAGAAUUGAGGCAUUCCAGCAUAAAAGUGUCCACAGGGAGCUGCUACUAGUGUGAUUAUAUUGGUUUCUUUUUAACCACAUUUGAAUGUAAAGAAAGUGGAAGCUAGUUUAUUGAACUUAGGCCUGGCUGGACUGGAAAUUGGUACAAUUAUGACUUUAAGAUGUGGCUUUGGGGCUUUUUCCCAGUAUUUGUACAGCUUUCUGUUAGCAUAGCCCUAAAGCUAAUAAACUACUAUUCUCCAAGUUUCUCUCUUACUAAGGAACUAAGCAAGCAGCGUUAGGCUAAAAGAAAAGGUAUGUAGUAUCAUCAUUCUUGUAUAUAAAGACUGGUUUUGCUUGGGACCUUAAGCACAACUUCCUAGGAUUCACUUUUCACUACAGUUUAUUCCUGCUCCUGAAUGCUAUUAGCCAUGGUCCCCUCGAAGAAAAGGUAGAGGCUUUGUCAAUUAUUUUGUUUGUCAGGGGGUAAUGCUUUAAAUUUUAU